CACGUCAGCGCGACCUGCUGACGUGGAAGGAAAUCGCUUCCUUGAGGGCGCGAUUUCCUUCCACGUCAGCAGGUCGCGCUGACGUGG
rfam:Gossypium hirsutum cultivar TM-1 chromosome 9, whole genome shotgun sequence